UAAUACGUAGGGGGCGAGCGUUGUCCGGAAUUACUGGGCGUAAAGAGCGACGUAGGCGGGUAUUUAAGUCAGGUGUGAAAGACCGCGGCCCAACUGCGGGGUUGCACUUGAAACUGAAUAUCUUGAGGGCAGGAGAGGUCAGUGGAAUUCCUGGUGUAGCGGUGAAAUGCGUAGAUAUCAGGAGGAACACCAGUGGCGAAGGCGACUGACUGGACUGACCCUGACGCUGAGGUGCGAAAGCGUGGGUAGCAAACAGGAUUAGAUACCCUGGUAGUCCACGCCGUAAACGAUGGAUACUAGGUGUGGGAGGUAUCGACCCCUCCGUGCCGGCKMCCGCAAUAAGUAUCCCGCCUGGGGAGUACGG
rnacentral:rRNA from 1 species